GGCGUCGAUAUUCGACGUCAUAAACACGAUAAACUUAGAUGUUUAUGACGUCGAUAUUCGACGUCAUAAACACGAUCAACUUUGCGGUGUUUAUGACGUCGAUAUUCGAAGUCAUAAACACGAUCAAUUUUGGUGUUUAUGACGUCGAUAUUCGACGUCAUAAACACGAUCAACUUUGGUGUUUAUGACGUCGAUAUUCGACGUCAUAAACACGAUCAACUUUGGUGUUUAUGACGUCGAUAUUCGACGUC
rnacentral:miRNA from 1 species